UACAGGGGGGGGCAAGCGUUGUUCGGAAUUACUGGGCGUAAAGGGCUCGUAGGUGGCCAACUAAGUCAGACGUGAAAUCCCUCAGCUUAACUGGGGAACUGCGUCUGAUACUGGAUGGCUUGAGUUUGGGAGAGGGAUGCGGAAUUCCAGGUGUAGCGGUGAAAUGCGUAGAUAUCUGGAGGAACACCGGUGGCGAAGGCGGCAUCCUGGACCAAUACUGACACUGAGGAGCGAAAGCCAGGGGAGCAAACGGA
rnacentral:rRNA from 1 species